rnacentral:rRNA from 1 species
CCUACGGGUGGCAGCAGUGGGGAAUAUUGGACAAUGGGGGGAACCCUGAUCCAGCCAUGCCGCGUGUGUGAAGAAGGCCCUCGGGUUGUAAAGCACUUUCAGUGAGGAAGAACGCCUGGUGGUUAAUACCCAUCAGGAAAGACAUCACUCACAGAAGAAGCACCGGCUAACUCCGUGCCAGCAGCCGCGGUAAUACGGAGGGUGCGAGCGUUAAUCGGAAUUACUGGGCGUAAAGCGUGCGUAGGUGGCUUGAUAAGCCGGUUGUGAAAGCCCCGGGCUCAACCUGGGAACGGCAUCCGGAACUGUCAAGCUAGAGUGCAGGAGAGGAAGGUAGAAUUCCCGGUGUAGCGGUGAAAUGCGUAGAGAUCGGGAGGAAUACCAGUGGCGAAGGCGGCCUUCUGGACUGACACUGACACUGAGGUGCGAAAGCGUGGGUAGCAAACAGGAUUAGAUACCCUGGUAGUC